AUUGAACGCUGGCGGCAUGCUUUACACAUGCAAGUCGAACGGUAACAGGUUAAGCUGACGAGUGGCGAACGGGUGAGUAAUGCAUCGGAACGUGCCCGGUCGUGGGGGAUAACGCAGCGAAAGCUGCGCUAAUACCGCAUACGAUCUGAGGAUGAAAGCGGGGGACCGUAAGGCCUCGCGCGAGCGGAGCGGCCGAUGUCAGAUUAGGUAGUUGGUGGGGUAAAGGCUCACCAAGCCAACGAUCUGUAGCUGGUCUGAGAGGACGACCAGCCACACUGGGACUGAGACACGGCCCAGACUCCUACGGGAGGCAGGAGUGGGGAAUUUUGGACAAUGGGCGAAAGCCUGAUCCAGCAAUGCCGCGUGCAGGAAGAAGGCCUUCGGGUUGUAAACUGCUUUUGUACGGAGCGAAAAGGUCUCCUCUAAUACAGGGGGCUCAUGACGGUACCGUAAGAAUAAGCACCGGCUAACUACGUGCCAGCCGCCGCAGUAA
rnacentral:rRNA from 1 species